UACGUAGGUGGCAAGCGUUGUCCGGAAUUAUUGGGCGUAAAGCGCGCGCAGGCGGUCUUUUAAGUCUGAUGUGAAAGCCCCCGGCUCAACCGGGGAGGGUCAUCGGAAACUGGGAGACUUGAGUGCAGAAGAGGAGAGUGGAAUUCCACGUGUAGCGGUGAAAUGCGUAGAUAUGUGGAGGAACACCAGUGGCGAAGGCGACUUUCUGGUCUGUAACUGACACUGAAGCGCGAAAGCAUGGGGAGCGAACAGG
rnacentral:misc_RNA from 1 species